AAGGUAGCAUAAUAAAUUGACUUUUAAUUGAAGCCUUGAAUGAAAGGAUAAAUGAAUAAUUACUAUAUUAUAUUAUUUACUAUAAUUUAUUUAAAAGGUGAAAAUCCCUUUUUAAUAUAAUAGACGAGAAGACCCUAGGAGUUUUUUUGUUGGGGCAACAUUAUAGCAUUUAAUCUAUAAAUAUAAAUUAGUAAAACGAGAAAUUUUUAAUAAUAAUUAAACUACCCUAGGGAUAACAGCAUAAAGUUUGUGACCUCGAUGUUGGACUAGGGAUUUUAAAGUUAACAGCGUUAAAUGGUAGUUCUGUUCGAACUUACUUACCU
rnacentral:rRNA from 1 species